GCGAGUGUAACUCAGUUGGUUAGAGUGUUAGGUUGUGGUUCUAAAAGUCGGGGGUUCAAAUCCCCUUACCCGCC
rnacentral:tRNA from 1 species